rnacentral:rRNA from 1 species
GUAGUCUCGCACAGAUGCAUAUCAAUAAGCGGAGGAAAAGAAACUAACAAGGAUUCCCUCAGUAACGGCGAGUGAAGCGGGAAGAGCUCAAAUUUGAAAUCUUGAAAGGUCACCUUUCACGAAUUGUAGUUUAAAGAAGUGUUUUCUGUUACGAUCGUAAUAUAAGUUCUUUGGAAUAGGACAUCACAGAGGGUGAGAAUCCCGUCUAUGAUUGCAUAUUUGUAGCUGUGUGAUACACUUUCAAAGAGUCGGAUUGUUUGGGAAUGCAGUCCAAAGUGGGUGGUAAAUUUCAUCUAAAGCUAAAUAUUGGCGAGAGACCGAUAGCGAACAAGUACCGUGAGGGAAAGAUGAAAAGAACUUUGAAAAGAGAGUUAAACAGUACGUGAAAUUGUCAAAAGGGAAGCGUUUGACACCAGUGUUGUUUUCUCGAAAAUCAAUUAAAAAGAGUUAGAUUUUGUUGUGUAUUGACCUUAACAGCUUGCAUUUCAAUUUUCUUGCUUUUUUUAAUGCACUUUUCGUUUAACAAGUCAACAUCAGUUUCUUUUGUUGUAAAAAGGUCAUUGGAAGGUGGCUUUCUUUUCGGAGAAAGUGUUUAUAGCCUUUGACUCCUGCAAUCGGAGAGACUGAGGUCUGCAGCGUAGAUCCUUCGGGGUUAGAUACAUUUGUGCUAAGUUAUAGCUUUUCAUAGACAACUUGUUGACUAUGAUUAGUCUUGUAGCUUACUCGCUUAUGCUAUUUUACCUACGCUUAGGAUGUUGAAGAUGUAGCACAUCAU